rnacentral:rRNA from 1 species
GACGAACGCUGGCGGCGUGCUUAACACAUGCAAGUCGAACGGAAAGGCCCUGCUUUUGUGGGGUGCUCGAGUGGCGAACGGGUGAGUAACACGUGAGUAACCUGCCCUUGACUUUGGGAUAACUUCAGGAAACUGGGGCUAAUACCGGAUAGGAGCUCCUGCUGCAUGGUGGGGGUUGGAAAGUUUCGGCGGUUGGGGAUGGACUCGCGGCUUAUCAGCUUGUUGGUGGGGUAGUGGCUUACCAAGGCUUUGACGGGUAGCCGGCCUGCGAGGGUGACCGGCCGCCUUGGGACUGAGAUACGGCCCAGACUCCUACGGGAGGCAGGAGUGGGGAAUAUCGCACAAUGGGCGGAAGCCUGAUGCAGCAACGCCGCGUGCGGGAUGACGGCCUUCGGGUUGUAAACCGCUUUCGCCUGUGACGAAGCGUGAGUGACGGAAAUGGGUAAAGAAGCACCGGCUAAAUACGU